ACGAACCGGUGGACGAGCACGGCGCGACAUAUAACGGAUCUCACGCGACGAUGCUGUCGCGACAUCCGUUCAAGGAGGGGCUCGCGUUGUUUCCCGCCUCGGGGGGCAGCGGGAGCAAGCUCUCGGGGCUGACGGGUGGGCCGCACCGAAUGGGGAGCGGCUCGCCCGUUCUGCAGCCCGGUGGCAACGCGCAGAGUGGAGGCGGGAUGCAGGGAUUAUCAAGGCAACACAGUGGGCAGAGAGUGGUCGGGGGUAUGGCUCCUUACACCAUCG
rnacentral:lncRNA from 1 species